rnacentral:rRNA from 1 species
AUUGAACGCUGGCGGCAGGCCUAACACAUGCAAGUCGAGCGGAUGAAGGGAGCUUGCUCCUGGAUUCAGCGGCGGACGGGUGAGUAAUGCCUAGGAAUCUGCCUGGUAGUGGGGGAUAACGUCCGGAAACGGGCGCUAAUACCGCAUACGUCCUGAGGGAGAAAGUGGGGGAUCUUCGGACCUCACGCUAUCAGAUGAGCCUAGGUCGGAUUAGCUAGUUGGUGGGGUAAAGGCCUACCAAGGCGACGACCCGUAACUGGUCUGAGAGGAUGAUCAGUCACACUGGAACUGAGACACGGUCCAGACUCCUACGGGAGGUAGCAGUGGGGAAUAUUGGACAAUGGGCGAAAGCCUGAUCCAGCCAUGCCGCGUGUGUGAAGAAGGUCUUCGGAUUGUAAAGCACUUUAAGUUGGGAGGAAGGGCAGUAAGUUAAUACCUUGCUGUUUUGACGUUACCAACAGAAUAAGCACCGGCUAACUUCGUG